CAAGUCGAACGAUUAAAGCUCCCUUCGGGGAGUGCAUAAAGUGGCGCACGGGUGAGUAACACGUAAGUAAUCUACCUUCGAGUGGGGAAUAACGUUCGGAAACGGACGCUAAUACCGCAUAAUGCAGCGGCAUCGCAAGAUGACAGUUGUUAAAGAUUUAUUGCUUGAAGAGGAGCUUGCGGCAGAUUAGCUAGUUGGUAAGGUAAUGGCUUACCAAGGCUACGAUCUGUAUCCGGUCUAAGAGGACGGUCGGACACACUGACACUGAAUAACGGGUCAGACUCCUACGGGAGGCAGCAGUCGGGAAUUUUGGGCAAUGGGGGAAACCCUGACCCAGCAACGCCGCGUGAAGGAUGAAGUAUUUCGGUAUGUAAACUUCGAAAGAAUAGGAAGAAUAAAUGACGGUACUAUUUAUAAGCUCCGGCUAACUACGUGCCAGCAGCCGCGGUAAUACGUAGGGAGCAAGCGUUGUUCGGAUUUACUGGGCGUAAAGGGCGCGUAGGCGGCGCGGUAAGUCACUUGUGAAAUCUCUGAGCUUAACUCAGAACGGCCAAGUGAUACUGCAGUGCUAGAGUGCAGAAGGGGCAAUCGGAAUUCUUGGUGUAGCGGUGAAAUGCGUAGAUAUCAAGAGGAACACCUGAGGUGAAGACGGGUUGCUGGGCUGACACUGACGCUGAGUGCGCGAAAGCCAGGGGAGCAAACGGGAUUAGAUACCCCGGUAGUCCUGGCCCUAAACGAUGAAUACUUGGUGUCUGGAGUUUCAAUACUCCGGGUGCCGUCGCUAACGUUUUAAGUAUUCCGCCUGGGGAGUACGCUCGCAAGAGUGAAACUCAAAGGAAUUGACGGGGACCCGCACAAGCGGUGGAGCAUGUGGUUUAAUUC
rnacentral:rRNA from 1 species